UACAGAGGUCUCAAGCGUUGUUCGGAUUCAUUGGGCGUAAAGGGUGCGUAGGUGGCGGGGCAAGUCAGGUGUGAAAUCUCGGGGCUCAACCCCGAAACUGCACUUGAUACUGCCUUGCUGGAGUACUGGAGAGGAGAUUGGAAUUUACGGUGUAGCAGUGAAAUGCGUAGAUAUCGUAAGGAAGACCAGUGGCGAAAGGCGGUAUCUCGGACAGUUCCUGACGCUGAGGCACGAAGGUCAGGGGAGCAAACGGG
rnacentral:rRNA from 1 species